GCGGAGAGUCGUGGCGCGCGCUCGAAGGGCCGGGCCACGUGUGGGAGGAGGCCGGUUUCCCCUUCCCGGCGGGAGGGGAGGGGAGGGGGAUGGGGGCGGCGGCGCGUGCGUCGGCUUGGUUGUGGGGCGCAGUGUUGGGGGCGGGGGCCUGCUACUGCGCCUACCGGCUGGCGCGGUCCGAGCGGACCAGACGCUCCUCGGGGCGCCCCGACGCCCCCUGCAGGCCGGGUAUUGCCAACAUUCCUCAAUCACCCGGUAGUCUAGAAGCGCCGGAUUUACAAAAACUCAUUUGUUUGCUCGAAGCUGAGGAUCCACUAGUUCGUGAGAAAGCCUUGAUCACUUUGGGCAACAGUGCUGCUUUCUCAGCCAACCAGGAAAUCAUACGGGAUUUUGGAGGCCUCCCGGCUAUUGGGAACCUGCUCGACGAUCCCAACGUCAAGGUGAAGGAGAAGGCCUUAGAUGCCCUCAAUAACCUAAGCAUGAAUUUGCGAAAUCAGGAAGAGAUUAAGGUGUUCAUCGGCAAAGUCUGCGAGGAGACCUGUUCCUCUCCUUUGAACUCAGAACUCCAGCUAGCCGGACUGCGAUUAUUGACCAACAUGUCCGUUACCAAUGACUACCAGCACCUGGUGGCGGAUUCGAUUUCCAACUUCCUCUAUCUGCUCUCAGCAGGGAAUGAAAAAACCCAGGUUCAAGUUUUGAAAGUGCUUGUGAAUUUGUCUGCGAAUCCAGCCAUGACCAAAGAGCUUCUUGGCGCCCAGGCACCUCUGUCUCUGAUUUCCCUCUUGGACAGCGGCGUGGCGCGAGAGGUCCUCCUUCGCAUCGUUAGGCUGGUCGCCAAUUUAAAUGACCACGUGAGCCGCAAGGAGAGCACGGCUUGGCGUCCGCUCUCUGAGGAUUCACUCUUUGCUCUCCUGUACGGAGAGUCUGGCCUGUGUGCCCAGAAACUGACUGCCUUAACCCGCCACCCCGACCCAGAAGUGAAAGAGCAAAUCACCAGAAUUACAGCCAUUGCGCCGUGACCCACCAGACAUUCUCCGAGGACUCUUCUCCAGGACGGUUCCCGGAGGCAAAACUGAGGAGGAAAUGGCUCUUUUGAAGCCCAGCGCACGAGAUGUGUGGGGACAACCCAUUUUCUGGGGUAUCCUGAGAUGGAGGAACCGUCUGAGACAUAUUCCAGGAUCCAAGCAAUGAAGGAAGCUGGACACUGCAACAGCCUUUCCCAACUUCAGUCUCAGCUGAAUUUUGAGUCUUCCAAAGGGCACGUAAGCUUUCUGGAUUCAUUUCCUUACCUCCUGUACCACUGGACAAUGUGCUACUCUAAGAAAAGAAUUCAGUGACAGUGCUGUGUGAAAUGAAGAAAUACUGGUUGAAAAGCACCGCUUUGGAUAUAGAAAAGAAAUGAAACAGGUAGCUGCUAGCAGCUAUAAGCAUUUGUGAGCAAUCUAUCUUCAGUCCUUUAACGUUUUUGAAUAAACAUUUGUUUAGUGUCCAGUUACUUAUAAAAGAAUGGACAGGCAGAAUACACUUUGGAACAUUACAGCAUUGAAAGUACUGCCAAAGUACCUGAUGUUUAGAAAAGGGAGGAUUAUUUAAACAGAAACACAAUCCAGCAAUACAGUGAAAGAACCAGGUGAAAUAUAUAUGUUGAACUCAAGUAAGCAGCCUAUCCUAUCUCUAUUGAACUGAAUAAAAAUAAUGGUACUUGUUAAGAGCU